CCGUAGGUGAACCUGCGGAAGGAUCAUUACCGAGUGUAGGGUUCCUAGCGAGCCCAACCUCCCACCCGUGUUUACUGUACCUUAGUUGCUUCGGCGGGCCCGCCAUUCAUGGCCGCCGGGGGCUCUCAGCCCCGGGCCCGCGCCCGCCGGAGACACCACGAACUCUGUCUGAUCUAGUGAAGUCUGAGUUGAUUGUAUCGCAAUCAGUUAAAACUUUCAACAAUGGAUCUCUUGGUUCCGGCAUCGAUGAAGAACGCAGCGAAAUGCGAUAACUAGUGUGAAUUGCAGAAUUCCGUGAAUCAUCGAGUCUUUGAACGCACAUUGCGCCCCCUGGUAUUCCGGGGGGCAUGCCUGUCCGAGCGUCAUUGCUGCCCAUCAAGCACGGCUUGUGUGUUGGGUCGUCGUCCCCUCUCCGGGGGGGACGGGCCCCAAAGGCAGCGGCGGCACCGCGUCCGAUCCUCGAGCGUAUGGGGCUUUGUCACCCGCUCUGUAGGCCCGGCCGGCGCUUGCCGAACGCAAAUCAAUCUUUUUCCAGGUUGACCUCGGAUCAGGUAGGGAUACCCGCUGAACUUAAGCAUAUC
rnacentral:rRNA from 1 species